rnacentral:rRNA from 1 species
AACGAACGCUGGCGGCAUGCCUAACACAUGCAAGUCGAACGAUUGCCUUCGGGUGAUAGUGGCGCACGGGUGCGUAACGCGUGGGAAUCCGCCCUUAGGUUCGGAAUAACAGCUGGAAACGGCUGCUAAUACCGGAUGAUAUCGCGAGAUCAAAGAUUUAUCGCCUGAGGAUGAGCCCGCGUUGGAUUAGGUAGUUGGUGGGGUAAAGGCCUACCAAGCCGACGAUCCAUAGCUGGUCUGAGAGGAUGAUCAGCCACACUGGGACUGAGACACGGCCCAGACUCCUACGGGAGGCAGCAGUGGGGAAUAUUGGACAAUGGGCGCAAGACUGAUCCAGCAAUGCCGCGUGAGUGAUGAAGGCCCUAGGGUUGUAAAGCUCUUUUACCCGGGAAGAUAAUGACUGUACCGGGAGAAUAAGCCCCGGCUAACUCCGUG